CCUACGGGGGGCUGCAGUGGGGAAUAUUGCACAAUGGGCGCAGGCCUGAUGCAGCCAUGCCGUGUGUGUGAAGAAGGCCUUCGGGUUGUAAAGCACUUUCAGCGGGGAGGAAGGCGUUAAGGUUAAUAACCUUGUCGAUUGACGUUACCCGCAGAAGAAGUACCGGCUAACUCCGUGCCAGCAGCCGCGGUAAUACGGAGGGUGCAAGCGUUAAUCGGAAUUACUGGGCGUAAAGCGCACGCAGGCGGUCUGUCAAGUCGGAUGUGAAAUCCCCGGGCUCAACCUGGGAACUGCAUUCGAAACUGGCAGGCUAGAGUCUUGUAGAGGGGGGUAGAAUUCUAGGUGUAGCGGUGAAAUGCGUAGAGAUCUGGAGGAAUACCGGUGGCGAAGGCGGCCCCCUGGACAAAGACUGACGCUCAGGUGCGAAAGCGUGGGGAGCAAACAGGAUUAGAUACCCGGGUAGUC
rnacentral:rRNA from 1 species